UACGUAGGGUGCAAGCGUUGUCCGGAAUUAUUGGGCGUAAAGAGCUCGUAGGCGGUUCAUUGCGUCAAUCGUGAAAUCCUGUGGCUCAACUACAGGCUUGCGGUUGAUACGGGUGGGCUGGAGUUCGGCAGGGGAGACUGGAAUUCCUGGUGUAGCGGUGAAAUGCGCAGAUAUCAGGAGGAACACCGGUGGCGAAGGCGGGUCUCUGGGCCGAAACUGACGCUGAGGAGCGAAAGCGUGGGGAGCAAACAGG
rnacentral:rRNA from 1 species